rnacentral:lncRNA from 1 species
GAGGAAAGUUAUUUGCAGAGGAGAACAAGAUCAGGACUCUUCCUAACAAAGGCUGAGUAAGAAACUGGGUUUCUGACCUCUCUACCCCAGCAAGCUCAGAGUCCCCUGCCUUUCCUCUGUUCUGGCUCUGUGUGUUUGCAUUACUCACUCUGUGGUUAGAAGUUCAGGUAAGUAAUUCUGGAAAAGGAGCUUUUGGAAAAAGUUGCCUGGAAAACAGGACGCUGCUUGGAGUGUCAUUUCUCCUUAUCAAUUGAAUAUGGACUUAGACAACUCAGCUCAGGUGAGGGGACACUCAUUCUGGGUAAGGUGGAAGAGGGAGGGCAGGAGAGGGGGCCUGGCCAGGUUUUUGUAGACAUUUUGAUGUCAGCUUAUAGGCUGAUAGCAGCAGCACACUCGUCACCACACAAUCAAGGUUCAACGGAUUGCCUAGGACACAAAUUGACGGAAUCUGGCCCAGACUGGCAUGCAUUGGCGUGAUCUUGGCUCACUGCAACCUCCGCCUCCCGGGUUCAGGUGAUUCUGCCUCAGCCUCCUGAGUAGCUGGGAUUAAAGCUGUGCACCACCAUGAACAGCUAAUUAACACGCCGAUUUUUAGGCUGAGCAAUGAUAGAGCUUUUCACUUCUCCUCUUUUUCAGAGGCCCACAGACAGAAGGGAUUAGCCUUAUCUCAGAUGAGAUUUUGGACUUGGACUUUUGAAUUAAUCCUUCAAUGAGUGAGUUAAAGCUUUGAGGGACUGUUAGGAUUGUAUUUUGCAAUGUGAGAAGGACAUGAGAUUUGGGAGAGGCCAGGGCAUUAUUAUAAGGUUUGGCUCUGUGUGUGUCCUCACCCAAAUCUCAGGUUGAAUUGUAAUCCCCAGUGUUGGAGGUGGGGCCUGGUGGGAGGUGGUUGGACCAUGGGGGUGGAAUUCUGGUGGAAUUAAAUACUGGAAAAAAA